rnacentral:lncRNA from 1 species
UAUGUGCAUAGCUAACAUUUGUGUAUAUUUUAAUUAAGGUUGUAUGUCUUACCUACUAAGAGCCUCAUACCCCAAGAGAAAUCAAUGAGUCCCCUGCAGUGGUGUAGACACUUUUUGGAUCAUCCAACUCCUGAGAUAGAAGCCGCAAAACGUUCCCUGUGCUUUAGACUGGAACAAGUUGCACAAGCAUCAGUAAGACCAGGGUGUACACUACAGACUGCUGCUGACAUGGCUGC